GAUCCUGGCUCAGGAUGAACGCUAGCUACAGGCUUAACACAUGCAAGUCGAGGGGAAACGAUAUUGGAAGCUUGCUUCCGAUAGGCGUCGACCGGCGCACGGGUGAGUAACGCGUAUCCAACCUGCCCGUCACUUGGGAAUAACCUUGCGAAAGUAAGACUAAUGCCCAAUGACAUUUAUAGAAGGCAUCUGAAAUGAAUUAAAGAUUUAUCGGUGAUGGAUGGGGAUGCGUCUGAUUAGCUAGUUGGCGGGGUAACGGCCCACCAAGGCGACGAUCGGUAGGGGUUCUGAGAGGAAGGUCCCCCACAUUGGAACUGAGACACGGUCCAAACUCCUACGGGAGGCAGCAGUGAGGAAUAUUGGUCAAUGGACGCAAGUCUGAACCAGCCAAGUAGCGUGCAGGAUGACGGCCCUAUGGGUUGUAAACUGCUUUUAUGCGGGGAUAAAGUUAGGGAUGUAUCCCUUUUUGCAGGUACCGCAUGAAUAAGGACCGGCUAAUUCCGUG
rnacentral:rRNA from 1 species